UGGCCAAAAGAGGAGGACAAGCAUGGCAACGACAAAUUUUGCUACACUUACGCGCAGAUUCUACGUGAUGUUUGAUUACGGACUGACGUGAGAUUGAAGGAUUGGGAAAUCACGCUGGUUUGCCCCACCCGGAAAAUCAGGGGGGACGAGAGGUUUGUUAGGAAAAAGGUUGUCCGUAGCCUGCAGCCCGUAACUGGUCCGUAGGUCUAGAAUUUUCGGGCAACGACGCCCCCGCCGUCGUCUCUCCCCGUCCAUAAUAGGUGUGCCGACACCUCUCUCCAUCUCCGUCUGCGCAGGCAUGACGCGGCUGGCACGGUGUUGAGCGGCGCCUAUGCAGCAGCCCUCAAACGGCGGCGGCUCGGCACGGGCGGCGGCGCUGGCGCUCGUGCGGCACAUGGCGCGGCUCUAACAAGGUAGCUGGGCGCGUCGACGCGCGCAUCAUGGCCGGGCCAGCAGGGCAACGACGUACGCGGAGGUCGAGAUUCACCGGGUGUGGUGCGGCAGCAACAGAGGCUCGCCGCUAGGGGCAACGACGUGUGUAGGAUUGUUCUCUCCAGCUGUUCGUUUUCCUCAUGGGACAAUCGAAGUUUGCCGCCCCUUUCUGCUCCGUUCACAUAUAUACAGAUGAAAAAAAAACCAUUCAGGUUCUGCAUCCACCCAUCAGGUACCUUUCUUAUUGACCCUUCAAGCGUGGAGUCUUUUCGAGGCAGCCUUCGUGUUUUCCCCGUCCACUGGAACUCCAUGCAGAGUCUGAGUUCAGGGGAGUGUAUUGGCCUUCAAAACAAGAAUAAAUGUUUGGUCGUUCAUCUUUCUUAUGUUCCUAGGUCAGUUUCAUGGAAUCCCAUGCUAUUUAUUAUGUAAAUUGCGUCCAAGAUAUUUCCUCGUAGGGUCAUGAAGCUUGUGGGCACUUUUUAUCCGUGUCUAGGUUUUUGUUGUUUGGGGUGUGCCGGUUUUAUUGCUCAGAUGAAACAGAUACGGUGUGCUCUUAGCCUCUUACAGAGUUGAGAUGAAUCUCCUUUGAGUUGCAGGCCAGAAGGUAGUGAAAAUUAAUAUUCUUAAAAGUCUCCACUUUGGAGCAGAAAAAUGUUGUUAGCGCAACAUGCAGUAUGAUCCAGGUCAAUAGGUGAACUUAUAAGUCAAAACACACAC